rnacentral:rRNA from 1 species
GAUGAACGCUAGCGGCAGGCUUAAUACAUGCAAGUCGAGGGGCAGCACGGGUAGCAAUACUUGGUGGCGACCGGCGCACGGGUGCGUAAAACGUAUACAACCUACCUAAAACAGGGGGAUAGCCAUUCGAAAGAGAGAUUAAUACCCCGUAAUAAGUUGAAUGGCAUCAUUUGACUUUGAAAGUUCCGACGGUUAUAGAUGGGAAUGCAUCCUAUUAGCUAGUUGGUGGUGUAAUGGACCACCAAGGCGACGAUAGUUAGGGGAUCUGAGAGGACUAACCCCCACACUGUUACUGAGACACGGACCAGACUCCUACGGGAGGCAUCAGUAAGGAAUAUUGUACAAUGGUCGCAAGACUGAUCCAGCCGUGCCGCGUGCAGGAAGACGGCCCUAUGGGUUGUAAACUGCUUUUGUACCAGAGAAAACCUACUCACGUGUGAUUAGCUGAUAGUAUGGUAAGAAUAAGCAUCGGCUAACUUCGUGCCAGCCGCCGCGGUAAAAC